AUUGAACGCUGGCGGCAUGCCUAACACAUGCAAGUCGAACGGGGGGCUUCGGCCCUUAGUGGCGGACGGGUGAGGAAUGCGUAGGAAUCUACCCACGAGUGGGGGACAACCUGGGGAAACUCAGGCUAAUACCGCAUGAGCUCGGGAGAGGAAAGCGGGGGACCUUUGGGCCUCGCGCUGGUGGAGGAGCCUACGUCCGAUUAGCUAGUUGGUGGGGUAAAGGCCCACCAAGGCGACGAUCGGUAGCUGGUCUGAGAGGACGACCAGCCACACUGGGACUGAGACACGGCCCAGACUCCUACGGGUGGCAG
rnacentral:rRNA from 1 species